CACGUAGUUAGCCGGGGCUUCUUGUCCAGGUACUGUCAUUUUCUUCCCUGCUGACAGGGCUUUACGCACCGGAGUGCUUCUUCACCCACGCAGCAUUGCUGCAUCAGGGUUCCCCCCGUUGUGCAAUAUUCCCCACUGCUGCCUCCCGCAGGAGUCUGGGCCGUGUCUCAGUCCCAAUGUGGCCGUCCACUCUCUCAAGCCGGCUACUGAUCGUUGUCUUGGUAGGCCGUUACCUGCCAACUAACUAAUCAGACGCGGGCCCAUCCUGUACCACCGUGGUUUUCCCUGCUGUGCCAUGCGGCACAGCAGGCUUAUGCGGUAUUAGCAGCCAUUUCUGGCUUGUUCGUCCCCCGGUACAGGGCAGGUUCGCCCCACGCCGUUUACUCCCGACCCGUUCCGCCCUACGUUAGGUUUAUAUUACUCCUUUCCCC
rnacentral:rRNA from 1 species